rnacentral:lncRNA from 1 species
AUUCCUCCAACAAAUAAGACAGAGAACUGCCUGUUUUUUUGGUUCCCUAUCGAAGGACGGAGCUUGGAACAACAUUUAUAACGGUUUAAUGACACAAAGAGUAAAAGGUGCUGCAGCCCAUCCAUCUGCUGAAUGUUGCCAAGUAACAGCCAUCCAUGGAACAUGGAAAAAUGAAUUCACCCGGCCAGGCCCAAAUUGUCGACCCACAGAACAUGAGAUCUGAAACGAAGCCAAGCAAAGCAACAUCACCUUCUGGAAAGUGCAGAAACUGCAAUCAAGAUCAACAAAGAAAAGCACCCUUCCCAUAGAUUCAUCUCUUUGGCGUUUAAGUGUUUGGGCGAGUCUACAAAACUCAGAUUCCUCAUUUAACUAGAUGUUCCAGGUCACAGAGAUAUUCUACUAAGGCAAUUUUCAAAAGACCAUAAAACCACCACAUCAAUUUAUGCUUGCAGGUAGUAUAAUUGCCUUUGUAUCAUAUAUUUUUAGAAAAAGUGGCUUAAAACAAUUUGAAUAGUGCUUUAGAAAUAAGACCCUUAAAUAAUUGACGCUGGUAUUGCCUUUCUUAACUCUGGGAUUUCAAAACAUUUUCCAAACAUUAAUUGCAAUGGGACCCUGGUGAGGCUGAUAUUAUCAUACCUAUUUUCCAAGACGAUAAGCAGGGAGCGCAGGGCCCGUUUCUUGUCUUGCCCCAUGCCCUUCAGAGCUUGUCCAAGCUCAGAGCUCCCUUAAAAACCAUUGGAUCAGCUCCAUGGGAGCACAGAGGAAAAUGAGAAAUGGGCUCUUGGAGAUUUAAGGGAUUCUGUAAGGUUGUGUGUGAGUGAGCUGUAGCUAAAAGUCAAAGCUGGAAAUCUAAGAUUCCUUAUUCAGUGCUUGGAUAUAUUUCCUCAUUAAGAUAAUUCAUGUAGAAUAUCAGGCUUGCAGGAAUAUGCUGGUAAGAAGUGGACUCUGUUGCUGUUUGUUUUUGAGUAACUUAUUUAAUAACAAAAAUGCCUCCCUUUGAUUUGAAUAAAAAUAAAUGGCUGGAUUUUCACAGGCAGCAUGCAUAGAAGACCAGCAAGGGCCAACAGUGAAUUUCGACACUGACUUUUAAAAAUUGUGAAAGAGAUGCUAACAGCCUAAUUUGCAGUGGAGACUAGAUUCUGUGGCUGUAUCAGGUGGUGGUAUAAAGAAGAGCCAUAUACAGAAGGUGAAAUGAGGGGUUAAAAGUCACGCUAAACAUGCUGCAAGGACCUGUGGGCAUCCCAACCUUUUUUUCUUUAAUUGGGAGGAGAAGAGCUUUUUACUAAAGAGUAAGUUCCACAAUGUAGGCCGGUGGCCCAACUGGGAAAUACUCUUGAUUUGAACAGUUUGCAGCAGUUCUUUUCUGAACUCUUUAUAUAGAUCCUCUUUCAAUAUGGGGACACAUAUUUUAAGGUAAAAGGGGUAUUUUACUAAUUUUUUUUAAUGAAGCUUUCACUGCAAGCAAUAUUUGGAGUUAGUAAUCACCGGCUGGUUUCUUUCCCUCCUGCACUGCAGGAAUGAGGCCACUUUCACAGCUGGUUGUCAGCACAUCUCUUAUUACUAACACCAAUUAUUGAUUUUUAAAAGGCCUACGCUAUUAGUACCCUGCUACAUCUCUUCACGUACAAUAUGUGUUUUAAAAAUUCCUUUUGUAAAAAUAUAAAAUCUGAGUCCAACCUUUCUAUCAUCACUGUGCUUGUUCUUUACAUUUUAUCUUAUACCUUCACAGGAAAGCAAACCCGGAAUCUUUUUUUUUUUUUAACUUUUGGGCUAAUUUAGAAGCAGAAAUACUUUGCCCAUAUGAUCUCUCUGGCAGGUAUCACAUUAUAAAAAAGCAAAUGGUGCGUAGUGAGGGAGGAUGAAAGAACAUAAUUAGAGGGUUUAGGAUCUUCUAUCCCCUUUUCUCUGCCUUUAUUUCGUGCCAUCCCAAUCUAUGUUUAAGCCAAUCAUAAAAACCCACCUGGCGUCAUCCCCACUAGGGUGGCUGCUUUUGCAUAGGACUGCACCCCAAAUUGGACUUUUCUCUUCUCUUUGAAAGUUCUCAAUGAAGGUGAAUUUUAGGAUUUCUUUCAAAAGAUACUAUUCACACGUCAGUCAUUCUAGUUGUUGAUAUAUUGUCCAAAUGAUAGGCGGCUCUGAGAAUAUUUAUCUUUAGCAAUAUUUAUGGGUGUAUUAGUUUUGUAGAGCUGGUGUAACAAAGCUCUAUGAAAACGCUACAAAGCUCACCAAAAACUGGAUGGCUUAAACAGCAGAAAUUAACGUUCUCAUAGUUCUAGAGGCUAGACAUGCACCAUCAAAGUGUCAGCAAGGUUGGUUUCUGCUGAGGGAUGUGAGGGAUAAUCUGUUUAUGCCCAUUUCCUAAUUUCUGGUAGUUUUCUGGAAAUUUUGGCAUUUUUUGGAUUAUAGAUGCAUUUUCUGGUAUCUUCCUUCAUGCUCACAUAGGAUUCUCCCUGUGUGUGUGUCUAUGUCUGUGUCUAAAUUUCCCCUUUUUAUAAAGACUCAGUCGUAUUGAUUAGGGACCACCCAAAUGAUUUCAUCUGCUAGGAUACCAUAUCCAAUUAAGGUCACAUUUACUGAGAGAAAGCACUUCAACAACUUUUUGGGCAACAUAAUUUAAACCAUAACAAUGGUUUGUUAAAUGACGUAUAUAUGAUACUAUAUAUAUAUAAAUCAUUAUUAUCAUUGAUUAUGUAUAUAAUCAAAUACUAUUUUAUUAUUUACAAAAUACAUGGUGAUCAUAAGAGAAUAUUUUACAAAUUACAAAUGGGAAAAGUACAUGGCAUUACUAAAACGUCAGUGCCAAUGCCUCAGCAGAGAAAAAUUAGUGCAUUAAUUAGUUACCCUCUGAUGGAUAGUUUUUAGAUAAUAGAGACAGGUAUUGGUAAGCGAAAUGGAAUUUUAAUUUCAUGAGGAUGCUAGAAAAUUGCAAGUUGGAAGAUCAAUUUUAUUUACUCCAUCAUUAACAUGUGCUAAGUGAAUAUCUAAAGCAAGCUUGUCCAACCUGCGGCCUGUGGGCUGCAUGCGGCCCAGCAUGGCUUUGAAUGUGACCCAACACAAAUUUGUAAACUUUCUUAAAAGAUUAUGAGGGUUUAUUUGCGAUUAUUUUUCUUUUUGCUCAUCGGCUGUUGUUAGUGUAUUUUAUGUGUGACCCAAGACAAUUCUUCUUCCAAUGUGACCCAGGGAAGCCAAAAGAUUGGACACCCCUGACCUAAAGUGUAAUCCAUACUCUGAUAGAUGGUUUUCAGUAACACAAAUUCAACAUAAAACUGAACAUACAUUUUCAUGAGCAACUACUAGGUUCCAGGUACAUGACUGCUAUAGAGCAUUAGAGUUCUAAUACUAAGUAAAGCAGAGUGAUUUUUAAAAUCUAAAUACAGUUUAGCCAGGAAGAGUGAAGUAUAAACCAAUCAUUGAAAUUUAGAGGGCACUGUAAAGAAAACCCAUAUACAUGGAAGAAAGAAAAGGCAGGGUCAACUUCUUAGUUGUGAGGAAGGAUCUUGAAGAAAAGAUUACUCUGUUUUUGCAUUGCCAUAAAGAAAUACUUGAGGCUGGGCAAUUUAUAAGAAAAAAGGGUUAAUUGGCUCACAGUUCUUCAGGCUGUACAGGAAGCAUAGUGGCAUCUGCUUCUGGGGAGACCACAGGAAGCUUCUAGUCAUGGCAGAAGGCAAAGGGGGAACAGGCACAUGCUGAAAGCAGGAGCAAGCGAGAGCCAGCAGCGAAGUGCUGCACACUUUUACACAACCAGAUCUCCCGUAACUCACUCACUAUCAUGAGAACAGCAGCAAGGGGAUGGUGCUAAACCAUUCAUGAGACUCCAACCCAUGACCCAGUCACCUCUCACCAGGCCCAACCUCCAACAUUGAGGAUUACAGUUAGACAAUUCAAUAUGAGAUUGGGGCAGGGACACACAUCCAAACUAUAUCAGAUAAUGAUAAUAUGACUUAAAAAAAAAAGAUCUGUAUAGUCUCACCUAACAGUAGCCUGCCUGGGGCAGGAAGACAAAUGGAGUUCAUGUCUCUAAAUAUUUACAAUUAUAAAUUAAGGUAACAAAAUUGCUACCCAGAACAUAUUCAAAUGUCCUACCCUGUCAACUAUAGCUUUUGAGCAACAAAAUAUGAAAAUAAGUCAUGAAUCAAUGUUUAUAUGACUGGAGAAAGAAAAAUAUUAAACAUGAUGGAAUUUGAUUAUUUCCCAUAUUUAGAUCUUCUGUUUAUGAGUAAGGACAUUUAAACUAGUAAUAAAGGAAACAUACAUAGUUUAUAAAUAUAUGUAAACAUUUUAUAAAAUUUAUUUUUCCUACCUUCAUUUCAAUACAAUUCAAUAAUUUUACUCGUAUUUUCAGAUUUACACAGAUUAUGAAAAAAUUUUAACCUGAGAUUUUUAGUUUUUUAGUUCUAAAGUAUAUUUUUAAUUAAAUUUAGCUGUUUUCAUAACAUUUAAUCCACAUUACCAUCAUAUGUGCCAAAAAGUAAGGCCAAAUUUGAUAUGUGAUUUGCUUUUCAAGAAAUAAAUUUAAUCAUCUGGAUAACUGAACAAGAGAAUGCUAAAUAUACACUUAAGAAGAUAGAUAAUAUUGCAGUUCUUUAUUUUUCUGCUUAUUACCUGACUUCAAAAUGAUGAUUUCCAUAAAAUUUCUUGGUAAUUCUAAAAGAUAGUAGAAACAAAUCAAAAUGAGAAACAAAUGAAUAAAUAAAAUGCAAUAUUUUAUUUGACUUCUGAAAAUAUAUGCAGUCUUAAAGCUAUAAACCUUAUAACACCAGACCUCCAAAACAUCUGGAUAUGAGGUAUUAAAUAACAUAUGGAUAUCUGAUUUUUUUUUCAGAUUUCUCCUAGUUUUCGUAUAGUGCACAUGCAAAUUGCAAAGAAUCAACAAAGUCUUCCUGAUCUCUAUAUAUUUUUUCUUAAUAGUUUUCAAGGAAAAUGCAGCCAGGCUUGGUGGUCUGGUCAUUUGAAAUCUCUAAAGGAGCUUAAAUAUAAGUAAACAUCAAUGCGAAAUCAUAAAAACAAAACUGAUUGUUAUUUCCAACUGCAGUGAUUCAAUGUUGAUGCCCACCCAAGGCAAUCCCUUGGUUCCGUCUUCUGACACUGUAUUAGAAUGUCAACUUGUGGAUUCACCUUAGCUGUUAAUAAGAAAUUUUGUCUUUAUCAUGAAGAUUGGAUCUUGGGUCCUUGUGUCAACAUUAAAAUAGUAAUAAAGUGAUGAAAUACAAAAUACCUAGGAAUAUUAUAGGAUCUGAAUCUUCUAACUGGGUACAUAGAUACUUGAGCACAUUAAAUGAAUUAGUGUUAAUCACAAGUGUAUCAUGUAACUCAAGUAGAUUGUGUGGCCCUGAAAUUCCUGAGGGUUGCCUGUUGUUUCACAUGCUGCCAGAACUUGAAUGCCGCCACCACCCUCCCCUCACCCCACUCCCUGGGGGACUAAGCAGAGAUUAUUAGACUCUAACUUCCAGAAAAAGGGCUAAGUCUUAAACAUAUCUAAGAUUAUUACUAUAGAAAUGUUAUUGCUUAAUUUUAAUGAGUAUGUUGACCAUUUAAGUUGACAGUCCUUGUCACAAUUUAUCAAAGACAAAUUAGCAUAGUUAGAGUCACCAAAAGGAAACUAUUAAAACCUAAGUGUUUUCACUUCUUCUGAUCUGGCACUUUUCCUAUAGAACUAUAUAUCACUUUAGUGCUUCUUAAUUAAAAGUGAUGUCUUCCUCCAACUUAGAUCUGUACUGCAAACAUUCCCUGUCCCAUGUUGCUUUUGAUUUACAAAGUACAAUAUAAAACUGGAUUAUAUUAUCUUCAAAUAAAAUCAACACCAGUGAUGUUGCUUUGAGUGGUUUAUAACAGUGAUUUCACUAGAUGCAGUGAAAAUGCACAAUACCUGGGAAUUAGAAAUUUGCUCUUUUCAAAUAUUGAAACACUUCCCUUUCUUCUAAAUUAACAUUAUAUUUUAUUAACCUAUAAAAUCUCAUACUAUAUGUGUACUUGACUUCUAAUAUGCUAAAUUUAGGGUAUCUCCUCUUACUAGGUAUUUAUUAUCGAUUAAAUAUCUAGAGCAGUUAUUUAAAAAUGCCUAUUCCUUUUGUAAAUUUAGAGGCUAUAGAUAGAUCAAAUUGUAAUUAUGUAACAUUUAAUUUUUAGAUGAAAAUUGUAUUGAGAUAAUUUUAUAUUCACAUGCAGUUGAAAGAAAUAAUAAAGAGAUACUGUGUAUACUUUACCUAGUUUCUGCUAAAGGUAAACUAUAGUAUAACAUUAGCCUAGGAUAUUGACUUUGAUAUCAAUUUUAUCCAGCUUUUUCAGUUUUAUUUUUACUCAUUUGUGUGCAUGUAUAUUUAGUUCUAUAUGCUUUUAUCCAUAUAUUGUUAUUAAUAUUUAAUUUUAACAUGUAAAUAUUUUCUUAAAUUUUAAGUAUCUAUUAACUGUUGUUUAUGAAUUAUAUGACAUAUAAUCGAUCCUUAAAAAUAUAAAAUAACUACUAAAAUAGGUUUCUUUUAGUAUUCUAAUCGAUAAAAACAUUAAUUUUAGACUUGGCUAAAUAUUACUAUCAAGUAGUUUGUAAAGGUUGACUAAUAGUUCCCCAAAUGAAUAGUUUAAAAACACCAUUGACAUUCUUUUUUCCUUUUGAAUUCACACCACAGUUUUUAACUAGAGGUUCAAAAGAGGUUAAGAAAUAUGAAUCCAUUUUCAGUAUUUGGGGCAUCAGCUCAUUAAGAGUAAUAGAGCAGGCUUCCAGUUUGAAAAAGGCACUGACUCAAAUGUGUAAUGAUUUCACUUUCAAAUUUCUUUUAUCUCAGCUGCUUCUACUUCAACAAAUACAAGUGCUUCAGAUAUAAUAAGAAGACUAAUGAGGAUUGCAGAUGAUUACAACAAUAUUAUAAUACUUCCCAAGGCAUAAUGACAUUUUUUUCCCAAAUUAAGGAAAAAAGGUUUUUUCUUGUUAGAGUCUUUAUUGCCUGAAUAUGACCUCAGUUAAAACCAGGAACCCAACUUUAGAACAAAUCUAUGAAUAAGUAUUUUUUUAGUAAGACUUCUUAGCUUAUAAUGGAAGUUUUAUUAACUUUAGCAAGGACUAUGUAUGUGCUACAGGAUUACAUCCUUAAAAUAAAAUGUGCCAAAACGGGUCAUUUGA